rnacentral:piRNA from 1 species
UGUUAGUAUAGAACUAAGGACAGCCCUCC